AACGGCGAGUGAAGCGGGAAGAGCUCAAAUUUGAAAUCUUCAAGGUUUUACCUUGACGAAUUGUAGUUUAAAGAAGUGUUUUCUGUUGAAGUUUUGGUAAAAGUUCUUUGGAAUAGGACAUCAUAGAGGGUGAGAAUCCCGUAUUUGACCAUUAUUUUCAGCUGUGUGAUACACUUUCAAAGAGUCGGAUUGUUUGGGAAUGCAGUCCAAAAUGGGUGGUAAAUUUCAUCUAAAGCUAAAUAUUGGCGAGAGACCGAUAGCGAACAAGUACCGUGAGGGAAAGAUGAAAAGAACUUUGAAAAGAGAGUUAAACAGUACGUGAAAUUGUCAAAAGGGAAGCGUUUGACACCAGUGUUGUUUUCUCGAAAAUCAAUUAAAAAGAGUUAGAUUUUGUUGUGUAUUGACCUUAACAGCUUGCAUUUCAAUUUUCUUGCUUUUUUUAAUGCACUUUUCGUUUAACAAGUCAACAUCAGUUUCUUUUGUUGUAAAAAGGUCAUUGGAAGGUGGCUUUCUUUUCGGAGAAAGUGUUUAUAGCCUUUGACUCCUGCAAUCGGAGAGACUGAGGUCUGCAGCGUAGAUCCUUCGGGGUUAGAUACAUUUGUGCUAAGUUAUAGCUUUUUAUAGACAACUUGUUGACUAUGAUUAGUCUUGUAGCUUACUCGCUUAUGCUAUUUACCUAC
rnacentral:rRNA from 1 species